rnacentral:lncRNA from 1 species
CUUAGUCAGAGGUCUAGGGUCGGUCUCAUUGAUUUUACUCAUGUGUUCAAUGACCUUCCCAUUUUUGAGAGUCAUGAUUGAUUUGGCGUGUUCAGAAAAGGUAUCUGGAGUAUUGGAGUUCUCAACCAUGAAUUGUCCUCUCAGAUUGCUCUCAGAUUGGCUAGAUAAUUUUUCUCCUUCUCUCCUACUAACUGCGGUUGCUAGUUGAUCUAUUUG